rnacentral:tRNA from 1 species
GCUGUGGUGUCCGAGUGGUUAAGGAUAUGGAUUUGAAAUCCAUUGGGCUUUGCCCGCACAGGUUCGAAUCCUGUCUGCAGCG